rnacentral:lncRNA from 1 species
AGGAAAAGGUAAAACCAGUGAGAGUAGUGGCCAUAAUACUAUCCUUCCCCCGGCUCCCCGACCUACAAAAGAUAAUUAAGUUGAAAGUAGUCGCCAACCUAGACGUCUUACUUCGCCUCCCGUAAUGCUUGAUAGUGAUCACCCUUGUUUUUAAUUUACCGAUAGUCAAUUUUUACAUGAUAUUGCAGUAGGUGAUAGAUUAGAUGAUGAAAUUAUGAAUGCUCUUUAUCCUAAUGAACCUAUCUUAGAGGAAAAUGAUGAUGAUAAUGAUGAUGUAACCCAAGCACCAAAUUUAGAUGAUACACCUACUAGUCAUGUUCAUAACUCAAGUAAUGCACCGGCACACCCACCUGUAGAAACUCCAACUUUUAGUAGAUACACCUGUAGAAACUCCAACUUUUAGUAGACAACCUACUAAACGUGCAGAAACAUCAUUAGUUUGGCAUUUUCUGGGCAAUAUUAUCCAAGAUUGGACUAAUAUUAAAAUUCUUUUAAAUUUUUUAGAAGAUUUUUAAGUUGCUACAAAUGUAUUUUCUAGGCAAUAUUAUCCUACUAUUUCAAACUGUUUAGUUUAUAUUGCCGCACUAGCUGAUUUGUUUGUUGAAUUUAGCGAGGGCGAAGAUAUUUAU